rnacentral:rRNA from 1 species
CACGUAGGGGGCAAGCGUUGUCCGGAUUUAUUGGGCGUAAAGAGCUCGUAGGCGGCUUGGUAAGUCAGGUGUGAAACCCCCGGGCUCAACCCGGGGACGCCACCUGAUACUGCUAUGGCUAGAGUCCGGUAGGGGAGCGUGGAAUUCCUGGUGUAGCGGUGAAAUGCGCAGAUAUCAGGAGGAACACCAGCGGCGAAGGCGGCGCUCUGGGCCGGAACUGACGCUGAGGAGCGAAAGCGUGGGGAGCAAACAGG